AGCGAACGCUGGCGGCAGGCCUAACACAUGCAAGUCGAACGGACCCUUCGGGGUUAGUGGCGGACGGGUGAGUAACACGUGGGAACGUGCCUUUUGGUUCGGAAUAACUCAGGGAAACCUGUGCUAAUACCGGAUGUGCCCUUCGGGGGAAAGAUUUAUCGCCAUUAGAGCGGCCCGCGUCUGAUUAGCUAGUUGGUGAGGUAAAGGCUCACCAAGGCGACGAUCAGUAGCUGGUCUGAG
rnacentral:rRNA from 1 species